AACGAACGCUGGCGGCAUGCCUAACACAUGCAAGUCGAACGAGAUCUUCGGGUCUAGUGGCGCACGGGUGCGUAACGCGUGGGAAUCUGCCCUUUGGUUCGGAAUAACAGUUGGAAACGACUGCUAAUACCGGAUGAUGACGAAAGUCCAAAGAUUUAUAGCCAGAGGAUGAGCCCGCGUAGGAUUAGCUGGUUGGUGUGGUAAAGGCGCACCAAGGCGACGAUCCUUAGCUGGUCUGAGAGGAUGAUCAGCCACACUGGGACUGAGACACGGCCCAGACUCCGACGGGAGGCAGCAGUGGGGAAUAUUGGACAAUGGGCGAAAGCCUGAUCCAGCAAUGCCGCGUGAGUGAUGAAGGCCUUAGGGUUGUAAAGCUCUUUUACCCGGGAUGAUAAUGACAGUACCAGGAGAAUAAGCUCCGGCUAACUCCGUGCCAGCAGCCGCGGUAA
rnacentral:rRNA from 1 species